rnacentral:rRNA from 1 species
AAUUUUGGACAAUGGGGGAAACCCUGAUCCAGCAAUCCCGCGUGUAUGAUGAAGGCCUNAGGGUUNUNAAGUACUGUUGGCCGAGNCGAAAAGGUAUCUCCUAAUACGAGAUACUGCUGACGGUAUCUGCAGAAUAAGCACCGGCUCACUACGUGCCCGCAGCCGCGGUAAUACGUAGGGUGCAAGCGUUAAUCGGAAUUACUGGGCGGAAAGCGUGUGUAGGCGGUUCGGAAAGAAAGAUGUGAAAUCCCAGUGCUCAACCUUGGAACUGCAUUUGUAACUGGCGAGCUAGGGUAUGUCAGAGGGGGGUAGAAUUCCACGUGUAGCAGUGAAAUGCGUAGAUAUGUGGAGGAAUACCGAUGGCGAAGGCAGCCCCCUGGGAUAAUACUGACGCUCAGACACGAAAGCGUGGGGAGCAAACA